GACGAACGCUGGCGGCGUGCUUAACACAUGCAAGUCGAACGAAGUGGCGAACGGGUGAGUAACGCGUAAUCAACCUGCCCUUCAGAGGGGGACAACAGUUGGAAACGACUGCUAAUACCGCAUACUGAAGGAGGGGAUUGCGUCUGAUUAGCUAGUUGGUGGGGUAACGGCUCACCAAGGCGACGAUCCGUAGCUGGUUGGAGAGGACGACCAGCCACACUGGGAAUGAGACACGGCCCAGACUCCUACGGGAGGCAGCAGUGGGGAAUAUUGCACAAUGGGGGAAACCCGGACGAAGCAACGCCGCGUGGAGGAUGACACUUUUCGGAGCGUAAACUCCUUUUGUUAGGGAAGCGGUACCUAACGAAUAAGCACCGGCUAACUCCGUGCCAGCAGCCGCGGUAAUUC
rnacentral:rRNA from 1 species